rnacentral:rRNA from 1 species
CUACGGGUCGCAGCAGCUAAGAAUCUUCCGCAAUGGACGAAAGUCUGACGGAGCGAUGCCGCGUGAACGAAGAAUGUCGAGAGAUUGUAAAGUUCUUUUAUGAGAGAGGAAUAAUAGUAGUAGGAAAUGACUAUUAGAUGACGUUAACUCAUGAAUAAGCUCCGGCCAAUUACGUGCCAGCAGCCGCGGUAACACGUAAGGAGCGAGCGUUGUUCGGAAUUAUUGGGCGUAAAGGGCGUGUAGGCGGUUAAAUAAGUCUUGUUUUAAAGACCGGUGCUCAACACCGGGUAUGGACAGGAAACUGUUUGACUAGAAUCCGGUAGGGAAAUGUGGAAUUCCUAGUGUAGGGGUGAAAUCUGUUGAUAUUAGGAAGAACACCAAUGGCGAAGGCAACAUUUUGGGCCUGGAUUGACGCUGAGGCGCGAAAGCAUAGGGAGCAAACAGGAUUAGAUACCCGGGUAGUC